GAAAUAGAAUAUCAGUUUUAGAAUGAGAGAGACAGUUCAAAUGUAACGGUUUUAGAGUGAGAGAGACUCAGUUCAAACGUAACGGUUUUAGAAUGAGAGAGACUCAGUUCAAAUGUAACUCUUUGACUUACCCGCCAGAGGAGAGCUUUGGCUCCAUCAUUUGUAAAUGUGGCAAAUGCUAUUUCCAUCAUGAGAUCGCUGGAAGGGUCGAUGGAGAACAUGUAUUAAAAUGCCUAGCAUAAGUAGACAAUCAGUAAUUCUUCAUUUCUUAUUCUGAGACUCUUAUUUCUUUUACUGUACCAUGAUAACUUUACCUGGGCUGGAGAAUUUUAAAUAGUUGGGAAGUGCUUCUAUAAAGAAGGUUGAGGAGAAAAGAAAAGAGCAUCUAUUUAAAGGUUUGAUAACACACUUGGUUGUUCUCAGAGACUUUCUGUUCUAGAGAAGAGGGCUGGUCAGCGAUCAUUUCCUUCCAAUUAUCAUUUCACGUCAUUUCUUCAAGUUACGUUGCACCCACGAAUAAAGUUUGUGUGCUUAAUGUGCCAGAUCUGGUCACGUUGAUGCCACUGUGUACAAGACAUAAUCAAGAAGUUAAUAAAGCAACGAUGGAGUCUUUGGCAAGCGUGGUGCUGAAUCUCAGAAACAAAAGUCAAAAUCCCAUCGCAUCAUCACACUUUUCCCAGCAAAAGGACUCAAAAAAAUGAGAGAUCGUUAUGUUCUGCGGAAUGGAAGGAGAUUGUCUUCCCUCUUGUGAGAAUGCACACAACAUAGUCUGUUAAGAAGGAUGUUACAAAUGUCCCUGCUUCAUCUUCCUGGCCCCUUGUACAAAGCUUGGACUCUCCCAGUUCAAACUUGUUGGUCAGUAGGCAAGCCAAGGAAGGGAAGAGAGAGAAGGCAGAAAAGUGGGAAGAGGAGUGGAGUGUUCCCUUCUAAGAGGCUGACGCUGCAGCAUGAGCAGCAGAAAUGCAGCAGACUGGGGCUCCUCGGAGCCUCCAGCAGAAACCAAGGAGAGACUGGCGUAAAAUGA
rnacentral:lncRNA from 1 species